UACGUAGGGGGCUAGCGUUGUCCGGAUUUAUUGGGCGUAAAGAGCGUGUAGGCGGCCAGGUAGGUCUGCUGUGAAAACUCGGAGGCUCAACCUCGAGACGUCGGCGGAAACCAUCUGGCUAGAGUCCGGAAGAGGAGAGUGGAAUUCCUGGUGUAGCGGUGAAAUGCGCAGAUAUCAGGAAGAACACCGGUGGCGAAGGCGGCAUCCUGGACCGACACUGACGCUGAGGAGCGAAAGCCAGGGGAGCAAACAGG
rnacentral:rRNA from 1 species